CAGUCGCCACGGUAAUACGAAGGUCCCGAGCGUUGUUCGGAAUCACUGGGCGUAAAGGGAGCGUAGGCGGCGUGGUAAGUCAGAUGUGAAAUCCCGGGGCUCAACCCCGGAACUGCAUCCGAUACUGCCAUGCUAGAGGAUUGGAGAGGUAGCUGGAAUUCUUGGUGUAGCAGUGAGAUGCGUGGAGAUCAAGAGGAACACUCGUGGCGAAAGCGAGCUACUGGACAAUAACUGACGCUGAGGCUCGAAGGCCAGGGUAGCGAAAGGGAUUAGAGACCCCCGUAGUCCCUGUCUCUUAUAC
rnacentral:rRNA from 1 species